rnacentral:rRNA from 1 species
UGGGGAAUUUUGCACAAUGGGGGAAACCCUGAUGCAGCGACGCCGCGUGAGCGAAGAAGACCUUCGGGUCGUAAAGCUCUUUUAUAUGGGAAGAUAAUGACGGUACCAUAAGAAAAAGCCCCGGCUAACUACGUGCCAGCAGCCGCGGUAAUACGUAGGGGGCUAGCGUUGUCCGGAAUCACUGGGCGUAAAGGGUACGUAGGCGGUUUUUUAAGUCAGGUGUCAAAGCGUGGAGCUUAACUCCAUUAAGCACUUGAAACUGAAAGACUUGAGUGAAGGAGAGGAAAGUGGAAUUCCUAGUGUAGCGGUGAAAUGCGUAGAUAUUAGGAGGAAUACCGGUGGCGAAGGCGACUUUCUGGACUUUUACUGACGCUCAGGUACGAAAGCGUGGGGAGCAAACAGG